rnacentral:rRNA from 1 species
GAUGAACGCUAGCGGCAGGCCUAAUACAUGCAAGUCGGACGGGAUUGAGAAGCUUGCUUUUCAUGAGAGUGGCGCACGGGUGCGUAACACGUAUAUAACCUACCUUAAUCAGGGGGAUAGCCUCUCGAAAGAGAGAUUAACACCGCAUAAAAUCAAUUUAUGGCAUCAUAGAAUGAUCAAAUAUUUAUAGGAUUAAGAUGGGCAUGCGGAACAUUAGCUAGUUGGUAAGGUAACGGCUUACCAAGGCUACGAUGUUUAGGGGAUCUGAGAGGAUGACCCCCCACACUGGUACUGAGACACGGACCAGACUCCUACGGGAGGCAGCAGUAAGGAAUAUUGGUCAAUGGGCGCAAGCCUGAACCAGCCAUGCCGCGUGCAGGAAGACGGCCCUACGGGUUGUAAACUGCUUUUGUACCGGAAUAAACCUUUGUAUGUAUACGAAGCUGAAUGUACGGUAAGAAUAAGGAUCGGCUAACUCCGUGCCAGCAGCCGCGGUAA